UACGUAGGGUGCGAGCGUUAAUCGGAAUUACUGGGCGUAAAGCGUGCGCAGGCGGUUUUGUAAGACAGAGGUGAAAUCCCCGGGCUCAACCUGGGAACUGCCUUUGUGACUGCAAGGCUUGAGUGCGGCAGAGGGGGAUGGAAUUCCGCGUGUAGCAGUGAAAUGCGUAGAUAUGCGGAGGAACACCGAUGGCGAAGGCAAUCCCCUGGGCCUGCACUGACGCUCAUGCACGAAAGCGUGGGGAGCAAACAGGAUUAGAUACCCUGGUAGUCCACGCCCUAAACGAUGUCAACUGGUUGUUGGACGGCUUGCUGUUCAGUAACGUAGCUAACGCGUGAAGUUGACCGCCUGGGGAGUACGGCCGCAAGGUUGAA
rnacentral:rRNA from 1 species